CCAAUAGCGUAUAUUAAAGUUGCUGCAGUUAAAAAGCUCGUAGUUGAAUUUCGGGACCAAUAUGUCGGUCGUGCUUCGGUACGUACUGUCAUAAUUGAUUUCUCCCUUCUGAAGAACCUUGAUGUCAUUAAUUUGGUGUCUUGGGGAAUCAGGACUGUUACUUUGAAAAAAUUAGAGUGUUUAAAGCAGGCUCGCGCUUG
rnacentral:rRNA from 1 species